rnacentral:misc_RNA from 1 species
UGCCUCACUGUCUUAACAUUCC